rnacentral:lncRNA from 1 species
AAGAAAUCGGAACAAUUAGUUGAACCACUAAAUGACUUUUCUAGUGCUGUUUCGGGUUAGAAUAUGUUACAAUUCAAUAAAUUUGAUUGGUUACAAGUGCUAGAGAUGCAUAAAGAGUGUUUAAAAGUGUGGAGAAAGACUUGUUGAAAUUGGGUCCAAAAUGGGCUAAGAACUCGGAAACAUUGCGUUGAACCACGAAAUGACUUAUCUAGUGUUUUUUUGGGUUAUAAAAUAUUAGGAUACAAUAUAUUUACUUGAUUACAAGUGCUAGAGAUACAUGAAGAGUGUUUAGAAGUGUGGAGAAAGACUUGUUGAAAUUGGCUCCCAAAUGGGCUAGGAACUCAGAAACAUUGCGUUGAACCACGAAACGACUUAUCCAGUGUUGUUUGGGGUUAUAAUAUGUUAUUAUCCAAUAAAAUUUAUAGAUUACAAGUGCUAGAGAUGCAUGAAGAGUGUUUAGAAGUGUGGAGAAAGACUUGUUGAAAUUGGGUCCUAAAUGGGCUACGAACUCGGAUACAUUACGUGUAACCACUAAAUGACUUAUAUAGUGUUGUUUGGGGUUAGAAUAUGAUAGAAUACAAUAAAUUUGAUUGAUUACAAGUGCUAGAGAUGCAUGAAGAGUUUUUAAAAGUGUGGAGAAAGACUUGUUGAAAUUGGGUCCCAAAUGGGCUAAGAACUCAAAAACAUUGCGUUGAACCACGAAAUGACUUAUCUAGUGCUGUUUCGAGUUAGAAUAUGUUAGAAUACAAUAAAUUUUAUUGGUUACAAGUGCUAGAGAUGCAUAAAGAGUGUUUAAAAGUGUGGAGAAAGACUUGUUGAAAUUGGGUCCAAUAUGGGCUAAGAACUCGGAAACAUUGUGUUGAACCACGAAAUAACUUAUCUACUGUUGUUUUUGGUUAUAAUAUAUUAGGAUACAAUAAAUUUAAUUGAUUACAAGUGCUAGAGAUGCAUGAAGAGUGUCUAUAUGGGUGGAGAAAGACAUGAUGAAAUUGGGUUACAAAUGGGCUAAGACCUCGGAAACAUUGUGUUACACCACUAAAU